UAGGGUUGGUAUCUCUGGUGUUUUCCAUCUGGCAGCUACCAACAUUCUGGCUGCAGCUGUCAAGUAAAAGAAUAAUCUCAAUAAAUUAGGGGAAAGCUGUAGUUCUGAAAGUACCGGGCUUAACAAAUAGGUCCACCAAGAAUGAGUAUAGGAGCCGAUCCCUUCACCACAUUUCCAACAGGUGAUCCAUCUUCUCGGGAGGUAUUAUUGGCAAUUUACAUUCAUCUAGUCAUCCAUCUACCCGACUUAUUUGCAGUGGCAAAUUCCUUUUGUCUAGCCAAUGUAAGUUUUUUUAUCAUUUCUCUAUUUCUUAUUUGGUCUAAUUGUCCUUUAACUAUCUGUAUUUUUUUUAUAUUAUUUGUUUUUUCCUUGUAAUAGUCAGUUCCUUCUCCAACUCAGUUAAUUUAUCUAUUAAUCUCU